rnacentral:rRNA from 1 species
UACGAAGGGGGCUAGCGUUGUUCGGAAUUACUGGGCGUAAAGGGCGCGCAGGCGGUCCUUCAAGUCAGAUGUGAAAGCCCCGGGCUCAACCUGGGAACUGCAUUUGAGACUGAAGGACUAGAGUUCGGGAGAGGAUGGUGGAAUUCCCAGUGUAGAGGUGAAAUUCGUAGAUAUUGGGAAGAACACCGGUGGCGAAGGCGGCCAUCUGGACCGAUACUGACGCUGAGGCACGAAAGCGUGGGGAGCAAACAGGG